rnacentral:rRNA from 1 species
AGUGAACGCUGGCGGUAGGCCUAACACAUGCAAGUCGAACGGCGGCACAGUAAGAGCUUGCUCUUACGGGUGGCGAGUGGCGGACGGGUGAGGAAUACAUCGGAAUCUACUUUUUCGUGGGGGAUAACGUAGGGAAACUUACGCUAAUACCGCAUACGACCUACGGGUGAAAGCAGGGGAUCUUCGGACCUUGCGCGAUUGAAUGAGCCGAUGUCGGAUUAGCUAGUUGGCGGGGUAAAGGCCCACCAAGGCGACGAUCCGUAGCUGGUCUGAGAGGAUUAUCAGCCACACUGGAACUGAGACACGGUCCAGACUCCUACGGGAGGCAGCAGUGGGGAAUAUUGGACAAUGGGCGCAAGCCUGAUCCAGCCAUACCGCGUGGGUGAAGAAGGCCUUCGGGUUGUAAAGCCCUUUUGUUGGGAAAGAAAAGCAGCAGGUUAAUACCCCGCUGUUCUGACGGUACCCAAAGAAUAAGCACCGGCUAACUUCGUG